GAGCGAGGUGAUGGGGAGGCUGAGGCAGCAAACGCGUGGCUUUUGGCGAGGCGCACGGCGCAGGAAAUCAGCGUCUCGGCUCUCGAUGGAUGCGGCCGCGACCAGGACCCACAGCCCGCCGUCGCGGAGCAGCCUCGCGUCGUCCGACGAGCACGAGUCUAGCCCAUCACCGGUUACCCGUCCGUGUCCAUCGGGCGACCCGUCGCCGUGCGGCGCCCGCCUCUCGCUGUGCGCCUCCCCAGCUACCGUAUCCGUGCACGGAUACCUGCAGGGAGCAGCCGCCGCGGCACGACAGCUUGGAAUCACGGUUGACGGAGGAGAUCCCCCUCCGUCUCUCCGCGGCCAGGCGUCUUCAUCGGACGAGUCACGGUCGGGCGGCUCACGACGCGGUUCCUCUCCGGGACUCACGUGCGUCGUGUGCGGCGACACGUCGAGCGGAAAGCACUACGGCAUACUCGCCUGCAACGGCUGCAGCGGCUUCUUCAAGCGAAGCGUCCGCAGGAAGCUCAUCUACAGGUGUCAAGCCGGUACCGGUAGGUGCCUAGUGGACAAGGCGCACCGGAACCAGUGCCAGGCUUGCCGCCUCAAGAAGUGCCUCCAGAUGGGCAUGAACAAGGACGCGGUGCAGAACGAGCGGCAGCCGCGCAACACGGCCACCAUCCGGCCCGAGUCGCUGGCCGACUCCGAGCGGCUGCUUCGCGAGGGCGCCGCAGUGGGCGUGUUCCCGCACGCGCCCAGUGCCGCGGCGGCCGCCGCAGCCGCUGCAGCCGCCGCUGCUCGCUACCUGGCACUGGACAGGGCCGCCUCACAGCAGCAGCAGCAGUCGCGCGAGCUGCAGCACCACCGGCCUGCCAAGUACGAACGCCGGGACGACGCUCCCACCAAGGAAGAGGACACGUCCGAGUCGGGUGGUUGUCGGGACGACAUCGGCAACGGCGGCGGGCUCAGUGACACGUCCGUGACCACGGCGACCGGUCGGCGUUCUCCGGUGGGGUUGCUGCCUCCACCGCUGCUGUGCCAGCAGCAGCAGCAGCCCAUGCCGGGCUACGGCGAGUUCCCGCUCUACCCAGUGGCGCAGGAGAGCGUCUACGAAACGUCGGCGCGCCUCCUCUUCAUGGCGGUCAAGUGGGCCAAGAACCUGCCGUCCUUCUCCAACCUGCCCUUCAGAGACCAGGUGAUCAUCCUGGAGGAGACCUGGUCCGAGUUGUUCUUGCUGUGUGCCAUCCAGUGGUGCCUGCCCCUGGAGGCGAGCCCGCUGUUCAGCCCGGCCGAGCACGCCGCGCUCGCGCUGCACAACAACGGCACCCCGGGUGGCGGUCAGCAAGGCCAGCAGCAAGGACAGAACCACAACACCAAGGCGGCCCCGCUGACCGAUGUGCGCAUCCUACAGGAAGUGCUGGCACGCUUCCGGGCCAUCGGCGUCGACCCCGCGGAAUUCGCCUGCCUCAAGGCCAUCCUACUCUUCAAGGCCGAUUCCCGAGGCCUGAAGGACGCGCACCAAGUGGAAGCCCUGCAGGACCAGGCGCAACUCAUGCUGCAGCAGCACGUCAAGACACAGCACCCGACGCACCCUGUGAGGUUUGGUCGGCUGCUGCUGAUGCUGCCCUCUCUGCGAUACGUGCCUGCAGAACGAGUCGAGGCCCUCUACUUCCAGCGCACCAUUGGCAACACGCCCAUGGAGAAGCUGCUCUGUGACAUGUUCAAGUGCUGAUCGCCAAGCACGCCACUGCACCGCGCCAAUUCCGAGCGCGGUCACCUGCAGGCUGACGUGAAUGUCCAGAGUUCCGGAAGGUCUGCUGCUCCACCGCGGAAAAGCGACAGGCCUGCGCCAUCCUUCCUGUCCGCGUCUGGUCGUUCACCCACGGUUAGCGCAAGGUGUCAACCAUAUAGACGCACGCGGGAUCCUGUACAGAUCGUCCUUCAUCUCUCCCCUGUGAUUGCUACCUAGUCAAACAUGUCUGCGGGUGGUUUCACGGACGUACUCGCACAGUACAAAGACCAAAGUGCAUCCAUCGCAUUAACCCUUCCCCCCCCCCCUCCUCCUCCGCCUCCUCCUCCUCCAGCACUUGUUUUCUGGGCCACGUAUGCCUCUCUUCCACGCCCUUUCCCUCUUUCCCAGUGCCACCAAGAAGACAAUAUGUGCCAAAGGGAACUGUUCAUAUGACGGAGUCACGGCGACCUCAGUCGCUAGCGACGUUCUUCUACCAUGUUUUUCAGUCGGGAGAGAAACGACUGACUGACGCUAUCGGAAAGUGUGGUUUCGUGUCAACAGAUGGUCAACACAUCAACCAAGUGUUCGCAGGUUCGCGCCGUAGGGCCUAGUGGAUUAGAAUGCGUACAGUCCCCAGGCGUCGCACAAACCCCGCACGACCGGGCGCCUGGGCGGGGGCCGCCUUUUUCGUUUAUUAACCGGUGAAAGUUCGGCGGCCGGAUUCGAACCACCGACCUUCUGAAGCCGAGGCCAACCCAUAACGUCCCGGAUAAUAAAUGCUCUUACAGCUGCUCCGUAGAAAAGAAAGAAGGGACACCCUCUCUGCCACCGUGGUCCCAAGUGCAUGUAGUGUUUCUUUCGUUGACAUCCCUGCAAUAACUAAGACGAAACGCAAUAUUUUCAUUAAUCAUUCGUUUUCAUUGGUGCCAAGACUCACGUAACUCUAUUCGUAACACUCUGUCAAUCUGGGGAAAAAAUUAUAAUUAUGUUUGAUACGUAGUCUCUCUUGUGGCUUGUUUGAUUUGAAAAGUUGUUAUACAACGCACUGCUUAACUGCAGAUAAGAAUCCGACCAACAGCGUGUAUUUUGAUAGGUGGUGGAGACUUACUGAACGCCUCUGUUAUUGUGUAUCAGAUUCGGCUAUCUGUGAUUUAAAUGGUUUUGCUGACAUGUAUCUCGAUGGAGGUGGUUUAGUACUUCUGCUUUCUGUAUUAUCACCCGACGCUUCCCUUGCAUGGGCUAUGACGGUGAAUCAUGCCGUGUUACAGUAUUACAGUCUCGUCAACGCUUCUUCGUUGCUUUCACUUUUUCUUGGUUGAUCCUUCACCAUGGCACGGAAAACGCCUACCGCAAUCUGUUCUUACAUAGUGUUCAUUUUACAAAAUCGUUGGCAGCUUGCCGAUUAAAAGAUUGUGUUCCAGAACAA